UACGGAGGAGGCAAGCGUUAUCCGGAAUUAUUGGGCGUAAAGCGUCCGCAGGUGGCACCUCAAGUCUGCUGUCAAAGACCGGGGCUUAACCCCAGAAAGGCAGUGGAAACUGAAGUGCUAGAGUGCAGUAGGGGUAGAGGGAAUUCCCGGUGUAGCGGUGAAAUGCGUAGAGAUCGGGAAGAACAUCGGUGGCGAAAGCGCUCUGCUGGACUGCAACUGACACUCAUGGACGAAAGCUAGGGGAGCGAAAGGG
rnacentral:rRNA from 1 species